GACGAACGCUGGCGGCGUGCUUAACACAUGCAAGUCGAACGGAAAGGCCCUGCUUUUGUGGGGUGCUCGAGUGGCGAACGGGUGAGUAACACGUGAGUAACCUGCCCUUGACUUUGGUAUAACUUCAGGAAACUGGGGCUACUACCGUAUAGGAGCUCCUGCUGCAUGGUGGGGGUUGGAAAGUUUCGGCGGUUGGGGAUGGACUAGCGGCUUAUCAGCUUGUUGGUGGGGUAGUGGCUUACCAAGGCUUGGACGGGUAGCCGGCCUGUGAGGGUGACCGGCCUCAUUGGGACUGCGAUACGGACCAGACUCCUACGGGAGGCAGCAGUGGGGAAUAUUGCACAAUGGGCGGAAGCCUGAUGCAGCAACGCCGCGUGCGGGAUGACGGCCCUCGGGUUGUAAACCGCUUUCGCCUGUGACGAAGCGGGAGUGACGGUAAUGGGUAAAGAAGCACCGGCUAACUACGUG
rnacentral:rRNA from 1 species